rnacentral:lncRNA from 1 species
AACCAUUUCGCCUUAAAAUAUAAAACCAAAAAGGUAAUCUCAAGUACAAAAUUCAUCCAAUUAAAGUUAAUUCAAUGACCAAAAAAGCAAGAGUGCACCAGCUAAAAAAUAAAAGUAAGCAAAUGGCCUGUAGAUGAUUUUAAAAAAGCCAAGCAAUAAGUGAGUUCUGGACAUUAAAAAAAGAGCACACCCUCUACAAUUUCUUUUCAAGUGGUAGUUGUAACAAGUGUUUAACCACCACCAGGCUAUCUACGGCAUAUAUCAAAAUGCAAUUUGCACCAUUCACACUGGUAAUACUGAAAAUUAUAAGAAUGUACAAACGUUAGGUGAUCUUCCAGACCCAUGGGCCAAGUAUACACCCCUCCACAGUCAGCAGAAAGGAUCUUUUCGUGAUUUUGGCAUCACCCAUCUCACCCGAAACAAUCUACAGAAAUAGUCAAAACUACCAGCCAUUGAACAUUGUAAACGUAGAGUGAAACAUGCAUCAUGUAUAAAGCAAAGCUACGUUGUAUUGGCCCUUUUGUCUUCCAAAUCAUUUUCCACUGAAGCUUCACUCUUACAUAUUGCAAUUCAAUUUAGAGUUUCUGAGAGUGCCCUGACUUCCAUUUUGAGAUGAACCGUGUUUUCUACCUGUUGAAGCAGUUAGUCAUGAAAAUACCACAGGCCGUUCAUUCCUAAUUCCUUAAGCUAGCAUGGUUGCUUUAUCUUGGCCACGAAACUAAGACUUCUAACUACAACAACAACAACUACUACCCAGUAUAGUCCCAAAAAGUGGGGUCUGGGGAGGGUAAUAUGUAGACGGGCCUUACCCCUAGCCGAAAGGGCAGAGAGACUGUUUCCAAUCGACCCUCGACUCAGUGAAGGAAAGGAAAAUCAAAAACAAAAACAAAAGAGCAUUAGUAACUCCAACAGAAAUAGCGUAAAUAACUAUCUAAACAUAAGAACCAUAAAUAAAAUAGCAUGUAAUAAUAUCUGACAGUAACUACCAUAAAUAACUACCAUAAGGGAGACACAAUCCUAUACACAAAUCACCUAUGGAUAGCCNNNNNNNNNNNNNNNNNNNNNNNGUAGCUUCAGCAGAAAUAGCGUAAAUAAUUAUCUAAACAUAAGAACCAUAAAUAAAAUAGCAUGCAAUAGUAUCAGACAGUAACUACCAUAAGGGAGACAAUCCAAUACACAAAUCAUCUAUGGAUAGCCCUGUCAAGCCUCACCCAACCCCGGGUGAGAAGUACGAAAAACUCUAGGAGCCCCUAUCUACGACCCUGAUACUAGACCUCCACUCUCGUGUAUAACGUAUANNNNNNNNNNNNNNNNNNNNNNNNNNNNNNNNNNNNNNNNNNNNNNNNNNNNNNNNNNNNNNNNNNNNNNNNNNNNNNNNNNNNNNNNNNNNNNNNNNNNNNNNGGGAGACAAUCCAAUACACAAAUCAUCUAUGGAUAGCCCUGUCAAGCCUCACCCAACCCCGGGUGAGAAGUACGAAAAACUCUAGGAGCCCCUAUCCUAUCGAGGGUCAUGUACUCGGAAACCCGCAUUCUAGCCAUGUCAUGCCUAAUCACUCUCUCCCUAAUAUCUCUUAGGCCUCCCUCUGUCUCGUCGUACGCCGACCAUCGCCAGCCGCUCACAACUCCUCACUGGGGCAUCACGACUUCUCCUCCGCACAUACCCGAACCACCUCAGCCUCGCUUCUCGCAUCUUCUCAUCCACUGCGCAGUGCGCCAACCAUCGCCAGCCGCUCACAACUCCUCAUCGGGGCAUCAGGACUUCUCCUCCGUACAUGCCCGAACCACCUCAUCCUCGCUUCUCGCAUCUUCUCAUCCACUGGGGUCACCCCCACCUUCUCUCGAAUAACUUCAUUCUUAAUCUUAUCUAACCUGGUGAGCCCGCACAUCCACCUGAACAUCCUAUCUCCGCAACCUUCAUUCUCUGAACAUGAUAGUUCUAAGACUGCUAACAACAAAUUUAUUAAUUUAAGGAAAGAAAUAAGGUUCUCAUCACUUAUUUCUUUCCUUUUUUACUGUAUUUUUACAUAAUAUGCACAACUGAAUAACGAAGAUAGUUCUCAUCUCACAUCGAAGCAGUAAAUCACUUUGCAGCUUUUGCCUCUGCUGUAACUAUGGCAUGCAUCAACAAGCAAACAAAAUUGCUAACAUGCAGCCCAGAGGCAUAAUGUUAAAAGUACCAGAGGGAUGAGCGACCUGAAGAGAUCACUAUAUUGCUUUUGCUAGAAUAUUACAAUAUGUUAUACUCAACAGUAAAGCAGUAGGCACAGGUUGUCCUCAAAGGGAAAUGAUAUAUGAGCAUUCCUAAAUUGAACAAUCCACCAAUACAAGGCGUAGAAAUCCUUUUUCCUGCUAACAUGGGCAUCCGAUCCAGAAUCUCCAAAGUAUUUUUUUUAACUGACAAUAUUUGUAUAUAUUAAUAAAAUCAAUACAUAGGUUAUACUGAAAACCAUAUGUACAAAUAAGAGAGCUGGUAUGCAAUCCUAGCAAGACCCUAAAAUAUCUAAGAUUGACACAGUAUCUUCUAUGUAAAUUUGUUUACACCAAAAAACAAGAGUGGAACACAACUAAGCUUGAUAUUCUGCACUGAGUUACUUCAGUCCUCAAAAAAUCCAAAAUUCCUCUUUCUAGACUGGUGGUCCGCCAGAUACAUACUGGGACAAUCCUCCAUCUAUCUUUGUUUGUUGCUUCAGCUCCAGCUUCAUUCCAACUAAAGAAAACUUCAGAAGCAUUGUCCAUGAAAUACCCCUAAGAUUAAUAAAGAUUUUUUAUAGUUGAUCUGUUAUCUUGCAAUAUAAAAAUAAAUAGCUAACUAUCUCAGCAUCUUGAGCACAAUGAGUUCCCUCUCUUUAUAAGAUUAUCCUGGGUAUAAACAUCCUCCUUCGCUAAUAGCCAUAAACAAGCUACCUUCUAGGGAAUCUUGAUUCUCCAAAUAUUGAUAAUACAAUCUUGGUUUCCAUGUAAGCAAUAACCAUCACAAGAAUAGUUGGUUAUCUUUUAGAGCAUUGACGCAUAUUAUGACCACAACAGAUCAUUUCAAAAUGAAAAAUACCGUAGCUUGGUAUGAUGGAUAAGUAAAAAUAAUCCUGAAAUAAAAAAAUUCAUACUGACUCAUCCUUUGUUUGAUUACUAAUCCCAACAUAAAUAAUCCUAACAUAACUGAUCCCAUCCUAACAUGUAUUCAAACCAAACAACAAGGAUAUUGGCAAAUGGGGUAAUAAAUAUCUCUUCUCAAGGAAUAUGAUGCCUAUGAGUUUAAUUUUUAUAAAGACAGGUAUUAGGAAGACAAGAGGGGUUGCUCUGAGGGUAAGCAAUCCUCCGAGAGGUUGUGAGUUCGAGUCUCCCCAAGAGCAAAGUGGGAAGUUCUUGGAGGGAAGGAUGUCGGGGGUCUAUUUGGAAACAGCCUCUCUACCCAGGGUAGGGGUAAGAUCUGCGUACAUACUACCCUCCCAAGACCCCACUAAGUAGGAUUAUAAUGGGUUAUUUUGUUGUUGCUGUAAAGACAGGUAUUGGGAACUGUAGCACAAGAAAUUGGAGAAAAUUGCAAAAAACGAUAUGAAACCAACCAUUUUCGGUUCUUUUAGUAGUUGAGUCACUUGCAAAACCAGAAAAAAUAAAUAAAACAAGUAUAAGGUGGGAAGAGCUUUUACUUGAAAAACAAGGUGGGAAAAAAUUAAAAUUAUGUACUAUAAGUGAUAUGAAAAGACAGGCUCAAACUAAGCUAUAGGCAAUUAAAAAUAGCUUGAGGUUAUACUUUGUUUAUUUUGCAACACAUGAUAAGUAAGAACAUUAAAAUCUCACAAUUGAUAUGGUUGUGGAUAGCUGAAGGAUUUAUGAGAAACAAAUGUGUCUCUUCGACAUGCAAAAGGUUGCAACAUGGCUUGCUCUGAACCCUCCUUGUACUUUUUUCUCUUCGAUGAUGGUUUCUAUAGGUACACCAACUAGCUUCUAACACUUUCCUUUUUAUUUUGCACUUCAACUCCUUGUUCACAUGAGUCCUUCAACAACCACAACCAUACAAAAGGAAGAUUUUCCAAAAUAAUUAUUGGUUGAAUACCUAAUACGUUAAUUUAAAUGUGAGAGCACACAAUUUUUGCAUCAAAGACAACGGCAUGUUGUGACUUCUAUUUGAUACUCUAAUGUUUUGUCCAUGACAAAGAAGUUAACCACAAUAACAAGAUGCAGCGUGAAAAAGUGUAAGCUUGAUACAUCAUAGUUAAUCCGAAAAAUACAUGGAUCUUAUACUUCAACUAUGCUGCAAAUAUUAUACAAAUAUCUUAAACCUUGCUUUCUUAUUCUACAACACUCGAGGACAAGAAAAUUCUAGUCCCAAAAUUAACAUGGUUAUGGAUUGCAGAAGGUUUUAUGAGAAACAUAAAGCGUUCAUUAAAUAUCAAACUGCUGUUGCGCUUAUUUGAUAAUUGCUUCCAUCAAAAGAGCAUGUAUACUCACCUCCAUUGUUUCACACAAAAACCUCUGCAACCCACAACCAUGUAAAAUGCUGAAAAAUAAAGAAAACAAGUUCCAGAUAUUCUGCAUAAUACAAGUAGCUUAGUCCACGCAUACUCACACAAUGUAUUACACAAAUUUGAACACAAGAACUCCAACUUUUACAAAAACGAUCAAAAUAUUCAAUAUAUCAACGCAAAUUGGAGUUCAACAAAUCUUAAGAAAUGAUAAAAAUGUUUGGGCUAGCACACAACCAGAUUUGGCUUAACUUUGCAUAGAAAAAUUUAUGUACGAUAACACUAGAACAUUUUAGCAUCCUUAACAGACAAGCAAACACUCAACAUAGCGAGUUAGUAAACCUGUAUAAUGAAAACAAUAAAGUAACUCAACAAGUAAACGGUAAGAAAAAACAAAAUAAUCAUUAGGAUAACAACGGGGCAUUCACAUACCAGUAUUACUACGGUAAUAGCAGUAAAGGGGUGCGGCGGCCAAGUGAAAGCUAGGGUUCUUCGGGCUUGAAAUGGAAGGGCUUGAAAUGGAAGAAGAGUGGAGCUUUAAUAUAGUGCAGAAAAAGCCCUUGCACUUUUGAAGAGUUCGUAAAUUUACCUCUCAAAACUAUUUAUUUGUCAAUUAACCCUUCUUCUUUAUUAACUUGU